GCGGCCAUGGCCGAGCGGUCUAAGGCGCCAGCUUGCGCUUUCCACUCGGUCGGCGUGCAAAGGGCGCGGGUUCGAUCCCCGGCCGCUGCU